CUGCAGCCCGAGUGGUGAUCGAUUUUAUUGAGCCUAAAGCGUCCGUAGCCGGACUAGUAAACCCUUGGGUAAAUUGGGCAGCUUAACUGUCCAAAUUCCGAGGGGACUGCUAGUCUUGGGACCGGGAGAGGUCAGAGGUACUCAAGGGGUAGGGGCUAAAUCCUGUAAUCCUUUGGGGACCACCAGUGGCGAAGACGUCUGACUAGACCGGAUCCGACGGUAAGGGACGAAACCCUGGGGCGCGAACCGGAUUAGAUACCCGAGUAGUCC
rnacentral:rRNA from 1 species